UACGUAGGUGGCAAGCGUUGUCCGGAAUUAUUGGGCGUAAAGCGCGCGCAGGCGGCCUGUUAAGUCGGAUGUGAAAGCCCCCGGCUCAACCGGGGAGGUCCAUUGGAAACUGGGAGGCUAGAGUAUAGGAGAGGGUGGUGGAAUUCCACGUGUAGCGGUGAAAUGCGUAGAGAUGUGGAGGAACACCAGUGGCGAAGGCGACUCUUUGGCCUAUAACUGACGCUGAGGCGCGAAAGCGUGGGGAGCAAACAGG
rnacentral:misc_RNA from 1 species